ACUCUGUAUAUCUUAUAUAGAUGGUUUGAUUUGAAUUUGGUGUAUAGAGUAAAUUCCAUGAAGUUGCCUGCUUUACUUGAAACUACAUAUAUAUCAAUCAUUGAAUACAUCAUGCUUGAACUAGUCUAUGUGCGUGAUAUUGUGUGUAUUACUAUUUAGACAUUAGUUCUUACAUUAUACAAGUUCUCACAUGCUAAGUGUUUGUAAUUCCUUGAACAACUUGUACAACAUUUCAUGAAAACUAUUUUUUUACAUUUUUAUGAAUCUUAAUCAUGAAAAUAUGUUUUCAUAAUAUUCAAGUCAAUUGCUAUCCUUUUCUCUUACCCUUAUUUGCUAAACCUUAGAAUAUAUUACUUGAUGCAUGUCUAAUAGCUAUAUUGUAUGCAAUUUGUUUUUAUACUUGCUUUAACAUUGUAAACAAGUUCGCACAUGUUCAAUGGUAUAUUUAUUAGAGAACUUGUUACCAUUCUGAAAUCUAUUUUUCUACACACUUAUGUGUUUUAUUCUCUUGAAAGACAUUUCUUGAAUUCCAAGUCAAUAUCUGAUUUUGCAUAGAUUACACUUUGACUUGAAAUUUUUGUUCUUAAGUUCAAAUAAUGUUUUACACUUGCAUCUUACACAUGACCUUAAGACCAUAUGAUAGGUUGACGUUGCCAUGGACUCACACAUUGCUAUUUGGCUCUUAUAAUGCCAGUUUUAUUUUUACAAUUUGUGAGUUAUUUUAAUUACUUUCUCUAAGUCGGUAUUCAUGCUAUAGUAAGUAAUGGAAGUGGUUAAAAACAGUAAACUAAAUUGCAUUCUCUCAACUUGUUUUUUACAAACUAAAAAAAACCACCAAGUGGGUCUAUUUUGAUAUACACUUGCUUUGAGUCUUCGAGUAUUCACACAAGUCUUAUUCAUGUCUAUUCACUUGCCCAAAGUGUUGAUUUCAUAUGAAUUAACAUUCCUUGAUAUUGAAUGUUUAUAAAUCUUGAACAUGCACAAAUUACUCAAGUGGGCUUGAACAAAACGCAAAUCUUAUUGGAAUAUCUUUAUGUUUGUACCCACAAGCUAUAAAUGAUGUAUAUGUGCUAUUAGACUUGAUAGAAGUAUUCAAUCAUGUAUAUGACUUGUUUUGACCUCUCACAAGUUUAAUGUUUAAGGAAUGCCCAAGAAAUAGGUUGAGGGAAAUUUUUUAAGAAAAUAGAGCCGAAUUCAAAUAGAGUUAUCUAAGGCUUAAGUGAUCCAAAUACAAAAAAGUUUGAGUAUAAUGUCAAGCCCCGGAAGUUAGCUUUCCAAUGAAACUAAUUUCAUAACCAAACUCAAAGUAUUGAAGAAGUUAUGACCAAAAAAGUGAGAGCUAUUGUUAAGCAGAGUUUCUGCAAAAUCUGCAGUCCAGAUUGUCCAACUUCAAAUGGGAUUAUCUCAGGAUUUAUAAAUAAAUUAUGUCCAUUUUACUGAGGCUUGGUCUGUCAGACAACGGCAAAAAAAAAAAAAAAACCGAACUUUAACUGAACCAACCUUCGUCGACCAAUUUGACAAGAUUUGCGACCGAAGUUUCCAGAAAAAGAGCAGUUCACUUGGCCAGUGGAAGUUCAGUUCAAGUUCGACCGAAGUUACUUUCGACCAAAGUUAGAAAAUGUGUGACAAAAGUUUGCAAAAAUAGAUCUGGACGCUCCAAUUCAAAUUCCAACGGCUCUGUCACUUUUUCAAUGGGAAGAUUUGAUAAAAUUCAUAUAAAUACAACCCUUGGGGUUGUGGAAAACUUAUGGAAGUGCACUAAAAUUAUUUCUAUUCUUCCAUUCAUUAUCUAGCACUUCAAAAUUUCGUGUUGAAUUCCUUUUGUUCCUAUCUCUACUUUCUAAUUUGAAAUUUGAAUGGGGUCCGACGUAUUAGGUGUAUCUUAGCAUGGUGGUGGAAUUAGUAAAAAAGCUUAAUAGUUAAGAUUUGGGUAAAUUUCACCAAUAGUCCAUUGACUUACUGAGUUUACCCAGGACCAGACCUGAUUAGUGGGAUUAAAAGAAAAAUAUAGUUAAAUCAAUACGAUAAAUAUUGUAACUUUUUCACAUCAUAAUAUCUCCACAAUUCUCGAAAUCCAAACACGUUUUUUAAAUGGCCAACAGAUGAAUUAUUUUCAACAUGCGUGCAUGGGUCUAGUGAGAGCCUGUAAUACACUAACCCAAAUAAGACUUUAUUUUCUUAAUUUAUACUAUUUAGUUAGAGAGAAUUAUUUUUUUUUUUUGAUACGUGACAGUUUUUAAAAUUGUGUAUAUUUUCUUUUAAAAAAAUAUCCCUAUAAACUUAUUUUUUAAUAACAGGUUGGGUACGUUAGGGGAUAAAAAGGAUAAUUGCACUUCCAAUUGUAUAAAAUUACACUCGCACCCUUCUAGUUUUCUUCAAUGCACUUCUUUAUAAAAAAAAUAAAAGGAAAAAAGUAAAGGUUAGCUAUAUGUUUUCCAUAUCAACCAAAUUAUACAAAGAGGGCUACUAUUAUUUGUGGGCUCAAUCCAACCACUAGCAA
rnacentral:lncRNA from 1 species